rnacentral:rRNA from 1 species
CCUACGGGUGGCAGCAGUGAGGAAUAUUGGUCAAUGGACGAGAGCCUGAACCAGCCAAGUAGCGUGAAGGAUGACUGCCCUAUGGGUUGUAAACGUCGUUUAUAUGGGAAUAAAAUGUUCCACGUGUGGGAUUGUGUACGUACCAUAUGAAGAAGGAUCGGCUGACUCCGUUCCAGCAGCCGCGGUAAUACGGAGGAUCCGAGCGUUAUCCGGAUUUAUUGGGUUUAAAGGGAGCGUAGGUGGGUUGUUAAGUCAGUUGUGAAAGUUUGGGGCUCAACCGUAAGAUUGCAGUUGAAACUGGCAGUCUUGAGUACGGUAGAGGUGGGCGGAAUUCGUGGUGUAGCGGUGAAAUGCUUAGAUAUCACGAAGAACUCCGAUUGCGAAGGCAGCUCACUGGACUGAAACUGACGCUGAGGCUCGAAAGUGUGGGUAUCAAACAGGAUUAGAUACCCGGGUAGUC